UUUAUAAAUAUGUGAGGUUAGAUUACCCAGAUUUACGUGACGCUGCUGACUAUUGGAAAUUAGUUAUUCCUAAGGAUAGGAGACACGAGGUUUUUGCAAGCUGCCACUGCUCGCCUUUAGGAGGUCAUUUAGGUGUCUAUAAGACUUAUGCCAAGAUAGGCAGAUUGUAUUAUUGGCCAGGGAUGAGGUCGACCGUGGUAAGGUUUGUGAGACAUUGUGUUACUUGUCAGAAAAUCAAACCUGAACAAAAGAAGCCAGCAGGCUUAAUGGUUUCUAAUUUGGUCCCUAAACGUUGUUGGCAGGUUGUGAGUAUGGAUUUAUUUGGUCCUUUGCCUAAGAGUAAACGUGGCAAUAUGUAUAUAUUUGUGGUCACUGAUGUAUUUAGUAAAUUUAAUCGUUUCUUUGCCAUUAGGAAGGCUAAUUCUGCUAAAAUAUGCAAUAUUCUUGAGGAACAUAUUUUUCUUUUUCAUGGAGUUCCAGAGGUUAUUAGGUGUGACAAUGGGGUACAGUUUAAGAGCAAAGAAUUUCAAAAUUUAGCAAAAAAAUAUGGAUCUAAAAUCAUGUAUAAUCCCAAUUAUCAUCCUUCUCCUAAUGUUACAGAGAGAGUCAAUAGAGUACUAAAAUCCAUGUUAACUGCUUUUGCUUCGGAAAAUCAUAGAAUAUGGGAUGAAAACCUAGCAGCUUUAGCUUGUGCAAUUAAUACAGCAACUCAUGAAGUUACAAGUAAAACGCCUUACUUUAUUAACUAUGGUACUGAAAUGAUUUUGCAUGCAUCAGAAUUUUUUCAAUAUAGGGACGUUAACCAAAAUAUAGUUUCUGAUCAAUCUCAGGAGAAUUCCAUUAAAAGGGUUGAAUCUUUAGGGAAGCUAAGGGAAUUUGUAUCGAAGAAAUUAUUACAAGCAGGCCAGAAAUCUAGGGAUCAAUAUAACUUAAGACGUCGAAAUGUAGAAUUCAAUAUUGGUGAUUUAGUUUGGAAAAGAUUGUAUGCAUUGUCAGAUGCAGGGAACUAUUUUACUGCUAAGUUGGCAGGUAAUUUUGAAGGUCCUUUUAGGGUAAAAAAUAAAGUGGGUUACUGCAUUUAUGAACUUGAGGAUAUGCAUGGGAAAUCAAAAGGAAAUUGGCAUGUGCAAGAUCUUAAACCUUAUUAUGAUGAAGUUGGAAACUAGCUACCUAUUUAAUUUAUUUUUUUUAUUUUCAUUGCCUAUUACUUAACUCAAUAGAUAAUUAAAUUUAAUUUGGAUGGUAGUGUAAUUAUUUUCUUCAUUGGCUAUACACCUAUAAAUUAGUAUUUAAAAAAAAAAAAAUUUUAGAAAAAAAUUUUUUUUGGGGGAAAAAGAGGGUAGCUGUUACAGGUUAAAAUUGGCAUUUUAUACUCUUUAUUAAAAGCACUGAUUACAGUUAUAUUUUCAAAAUAGAUAUUUUACAAAUAUUAAUGAUUGAUACUAGUAAUGCCCUCUCUGUAAUAGCCUCCCAAGUAAACCAUAGUUCUGUUCUCUAGCCAUUUCAAAUUACAGUAUUCUUUUUUUUUAAGGACACAUUUAGUUUUGUACAUUUCAGCUUCAUAUUGUACUGGUUGUUAAUGAAAUUUUAUUUAUACUCUUAUAAAACCCGGUUCUGGACUAAAGAAAUAUUUUAGAAUUUAAAUUAUAUCCCAUAUUGAUUAUUUAAUUAUUUUAUAACGAAUAAUGAUUAAUUGGGCAUGUACAAUUAUUGUGUAUGUUGUACUGUUCAUAGUACAAUAUCUGAUUUUGGCUUGACCAUACCAGAUAUGCUGGUUGAUUUUACUCGGACUGACCUAUCUAAUUUUUGUCUCUUUUUAUCUAAUGUAAAUAUUAGUUUUCUUGGAAGAUAGCAAGAAGUUGCUGGUCUAGGCAAAAUCGAAAUUGAUUGUCAUAGUGACACAUAUUUUCAUUGCCAACUUCCUUGGGCCACAAAUUUUGUUAUUUAUUUUUUAUAAAAGGUUUUAUGGUACUUAUAAAAAAAGUUAAGUUAUUUUGUUAUAUAUUUCGAUUGGCAAUACACCUUGUGCGUGAUUGCUUAAAUACGGGUUUGACCUCUGCGGUCGUUCCUUUUUCCAGACCGCCGUCAUGAAGUGAAGAGUGCUUUAGUUCUUUUUGAAAUUCGUCUGAAUUUUACCCAUAUGGGGAUAUAAUUGACUAAAUGUGGUGAUAGUAAAUCAACUUUUUGGGCGUAAUGCUAUAAUUUGUUGUUUUGUUGAAUUUACUAGCCUUUAUGGCGAUUUAAAACCUAAUAAUUUUUCACGUGCCCUCGAACAUCGGCAAAAUAGCGGUUCUGAUUGGCAUUGGCAGGGGACAAUUUAAUUAGCAAAGCUACAUAACAUGGAUUUUGAAUGGAUUUUUUUUGUACGGACCUGAUUUCUUCAUGCCACAUGGUGCUUUCGUUUUGGGGUUAUGUACUCUACUGGCUCUAAUCUAGAAGGAGAUUUUAAGCAACUGUGAGCUAACGUCUAACCUAGACCACUACCAGAGCUUGGCGUAUUGUGAAGUGGAAGAGGUGAAGCUUGGAAGCCUGCAGUUUUUCUUUGACUGGGAAUUGGAUGUCUGGGAGAGUCUCGAAUCUGAAGUAGUCUGCUGUGUGUGGAGCUAGCUACCCGAAACAUCCGAGGAUUGGCUUAAAGUAGCUCGCCAAUAUGAAGAAAAUUGGAAUUUUUCCCAUUGCCUCGGUGCCAUGGAUGGCAAGCAUAUACAAAUACAAGCACCAAUUCGCAGUGAAAGUAAUUAUUUUAAUUAUAAAUCAACAUUUAGCAUUGUCCUUUUUGCACUUGUCGAUGCUGAUUACAACUUUCUAUAUGCUGAUAUUGGAUGUCACGGAAGAAUUUCUGACGGAGGUGUUUUCAGAAAUGCAACUUUGUUUAAAAAACUCGAAGAAAAUUCUCUUAAUUUGCCAAAUCCAGAUGUUUUACCGUAUGUUUUCGUUGCUGAUGAAGCCUUCCCUUUAAAAGAUAAUAUUUUAAAACUAUACCCAGGCUCUCAUCAAAAUGGAUCUUCCAAACGAGUUUUUAAUUAUAGACUUUCUCGAGCGAGAAGAAUUGUUGAAAACGUAUUCGGUAUAUUAUCUGCGGUGUUUCGAGUUUUAAGGAAGCCAAUGUUGUUAGAACCACAUAAAGCAAAAAAUAUUGUUAUGGCAUGCAUUUACUUGCACAAUUAUUUGAGAAAAAAUCAAUCUUCGAAACAUGUGUAUAGUCCAAAUGGAAGUUUUGAAAUGGACAAAUAAUAGAAGGAUUAUGGCGAAAACAAUCCAAUAGUCAAACUAGUUAACCACCAUUCCAAAAGUGGCUCGAAAAUCGGCUACAGGUGCUGAACAGAUACGAACUGAGUUUGCCGAAUAUUUUACGUCCAACGGUGCUUUUCCUUGGCAAAAUGAUUAUGCAUAGAAAAGGUUUCACAUUCACAAAAUUCACAAAAACCUAUUUUUGCAAAAUUCAUGAAAAACUGCCUAUAAAAUUAGUACCUAUAUUAAUUAAGAAAUAAUAAAGAAGGUAACAGCUGCGAAACUUCAGAUAGCGAACAAUUUGUUCCGGAUAGUAAUUAUGAAUCAGCAAUCACA